rnacentral:rRNA from 1 species
GACGAACGCUGGCGGCGUGCUUAACACAUGCAAGUCGAACGGUAAGACCCUUCGGGGUACACGAGUGGCGAACGGGUGAGUAACACGUGGGUGAUCUGCCCUGCACUUCGGGAUAAGCCUGGGAAACUGGGUCUAAUACCGGAUAGGACCCUGGGAUGCAUGUCCUGGGGUGGAAAGCUUUUGCGGUGUGGGAUGGGCCCGCGGCCUAUCAGCUUGUUGGUGGGGUGAUGGCCUACCAAGGCGACGACGGGUAGCCGGCCUGAGAGGGUGACCGGCCACACUGGGGCUGAGAUACGGCCCAGACUCCUACGGGAGGCAGCAGUGGGGAAUAUUGCACAAUGGGCGCAAGCCUGAUGCAGCGACGCCGCGUGAGGGAUGACGGCCUUCGGGUUGUAAACCUCUUUCAGCACCGACGAAGCGCAAGUGACGGUAGGUGCAGAAGAAGGACCGGCCAACUACGUGCCAGCCGCCGCUGUAA